GAUGAACGCUGGCGGCGUGCCUAACACAUGCAAGUCGAGCGGCAGCGAGGGGUGCUUGCACCCUGUCGGCGAGCGGCGGACGGCUGAGUAACGCGUGGGAACGUGCCCCAAAGUGAGGAAUAACUGCCCGAAAGGGUAGCUAAUACCGCAUAUUAUCUUCGGAUCAAAGGAUUUAUCCGCUUUGGGAGCGGCUCGCGUCGGAUUAGGUAGUUGGUGAGGUAAUGGCUCACCAAGCCGACGAUCCGUAGCUGGUCUGAGAGGAUGACCAGCCAGACUGGAACUGAGACACGGUCCAGACUCCUACGGGAGGCAGCAGUGAGGAAUCUUACACAAUGGGCGAAAGCCUGAUGGAGCCACGCCGCGUGCAGGACGAAGGCCUUCGGGUUGUAAACUGCUUUUAUAAGUGAGGAAUAUGACGGUAACUGAUGAAUAAGGAUCAGCUAACUACGUG
rnacentral:rRNA from 1 species